rnacentral:tRNA from 1 species
GCCUGGCUGGCUCAGUCAAAAGAGCAUGUGACUCUUGAUCUCAUGGCCAUGAGUUUGAGCCCUAUGCUGGGUG